rnacentral:rRNA from 1 species
UACGAAGGUCCCGAGCGUUGUUCGGAAUCACUGGGCGUAAAGGGAGCGUAGGCUGUGCGGUAAGUCAGAUGUGAAAUCCCGGGGCUCAACCCCGGAACUGCAUCCGAUACUGCCGUGCUAGAGGAUUGGAGAGGUAGCUGGAAUUCUUGGUGUAGCAGUGAAAUGCGUGGAGAUCAAGAGGAACACUCGUGGCGAAAGCGAGCUACUGGACAAUUCCUGACGCUGAGGCUCGAAGGCUAGGGUAGCGAAAGGG